UCCCCUUGAGGUCCUGUGAGCCCCACUCAGGGGGGGAUGGGGGCACCAGGCUGGAGCUCCCCCUCUGUCACGUGAAGAGGCCACUUGCUCCUCUGGCAACACUCGCUCAGGCUGGCACCCAGUGGGCCUGUGGAACCGCUUGGAACGUGCCAACCAAGGAAAGCUUCAGGGUUAAUCCCUCUGCUGAGUCAGAGGGUAAAUGCAGAUGAGACUUUGUGAGCUGUACCUGAAUUUCCUUCUAUGGGGGUCACACCAUCCAGCGUUUCCACCAACCAUGGCCACUGGAUAGAUGCUGUUAUAUGACGCCAAUGCUAUGAUACCUGCCUAUGGGGAAGGAGACGAGCAAUUUGUCGAAGUUCAAGUGGAGGGACAAGCCUGGUCCUGACUCUACUACCCACAUGACCCUGGGCAUGUCAUGCGACACCUCUGAGCUUAUGUUCUUCACAUGGAGAAAAGAAUAGCACGUGGGAUCUUAGUGCCCCAAACAGAGAUCAAAUCCCCACCCCACGCACUGGAAGGUGAAGUCGUAACCACUGGCUGUCUGAUGGUAUUUUUGCAAAGAUGGACACAAUACUACUUCCCAUACAUGCUUUUUAUAGUGCGGAGUCUGGCUGGCCUUGUGGCUGGCCUGUCAUCAACAGAAUGUGGCGGAAAUGACACGAAGUGAUGCUGGAGACCGACAAGCCUUAUAGCUCGCUCCUUGAUUUCCUGGAACCCUUUCGGUAGGAUCCUUGAGCCUGUGUAGUAGGUUUGACUGCCUUGAGGAGGGGCCACAAAUGGGUGUUUGGGUUGUCAGUCUCACCAAGGCCCCAGACAUGUGAAUGAAGCUGGCUUGGACAUUCCAGGGGAAAAGCCCACCAC